GGUAAUGAUUUGUAUUAUGAAAUUGUAAUCUAGUUAAGAUAAAAUUAAUCUAGCAAGCCCACUAAGUAAAAUCGAAGCCCAAACAGUAGAAGCCCAACAUAAGCAUUUUUGUUUUGUAAAACAAAAAAACAAAGGAUCCAACAAAAUGCUACAUUUAUCGUGGAAAAAAAAAACAAAAAAACGAAUAGGAAAAAAAAAAUUACAGAACCUGAGGAACGAAGAACUUGUUUCAUCUUCAACCUCUCCCCGAUUCAAUUUCAUGGAAAUAUUUUCUGUUUGAAUAACAUGAUCCAAUUAGAAACGGUUAUACAUGUUCAUAGCUUCGCAAAUUGCUCGUACUUGCAUUUAAUUUCGGAUCAAACCAUUUUUUGAAGAUUGUGAAGGUUAGUAUCGAUUGAUCUUCAUUACCAUCUGCUUCAAACGUUUAAACUUCUAGCUCCUUUCGGGUCAAUCGAUAGAUGAUACUUGUCUUGUUCAAUAUAAGGCGAACACAUCGAGAAGAGACGGUUGCAUCAUUUCUUCACAGCAAUUGAAGCAUUCCAGCAGAAUUAUGAGUCGAUAUUCUGGAAAACCUCUUUGAAAACAACGUUUGUUGUUAGAAAAAGAUCGGUAAUGGAAAAGAUUUUGAUAAAUGUACAUAAAUAAUUACAUGUGCAUCAGCCACU